rnacentral:tRNA from 1 species
GUUCCAAUAGCUUAUUAGAGUGUAAUAUUGAAGAUGUUAAGGAGAUAUUUUUAUCUUGGAACA